GAUGAACGCUGGCGGCGUGCUUAACACGUGCAAGUCGAACGGAAAGGCUCCUGCUUGCAGGGGUACUCGAGUGGCGAACGGGUGAGUAACACGUGGGUGAUCUGCCCAGCACUUCGGGAUAAGCCUGGGAAACUGGGUCUAAUACCGGAUAGGACGAUGGUUUGGAUGCCAUUGUGGAAAGCUUUUUCGGUGUGGGAUGAGCUCGCGGCCUAUCAGCUUGUUGGUGGGGUAAUGGCCUACCAAGGCGUCGACGGGUAGCCGGCCUGAGAGGGUGUACGGCCACAUUGGGACUGAGAUACGGCCCAGACUCCUACGGGAGGCAGCAGUGGGGAAUAUUGCACAAUGGGCGCAAGCCUGAUGCAGCGACGCCGCGUGGGGGAUGACGGCCUUCGGGUUGUAAACUCCUUUCGCUAGGGACGAAGCGCAAGUGACGGUACCUGGAGAAGAAGCACCGGCUAACUACGUG
rnacentral:rRNA from 1 species